rnacentral:rRNA from 1 species
UUCCCCCAAAAUCGACCGCUGCUUUUCCCCCAAAUUAGGCGGGUCGCCAAAAUCCUCGGUGCCCGUCCACCACUCGUACGCAAUCCCACUCCCCAUCUCCUCGCUCCCCUCCCCCGCCCACUUCACCGCCGGCGACCGCGACGGCUCAUCUCCUCCCUCCUACAUCACCGCCGCCUGCAACCACCGGCGACCUUUCUCAUGGGCUCAACCCUAUCCCCCACCCUCCCCUCACGUUCUCUCCCAGAUCGGAUCGGAUCGAGAAUCAGCAGGCCAUGGAGUUGGUGAAGUUGUCCCUCCUUCGUCAACUUGGUUAGAGGUCCAAGUUCGAGGGACCUGACGAGAAAGAGGACAAGGACCACCGGGAACCAAGACCUCCAUAUAGCCAUGGCAAUAGCCGCACCUUCCCCUUCCACAAGGUGUAGUAGGUGUUCAUGGAAAAAGACAGAAAUUUUUAGGAGAUGAGGAGUUACUGAAACAUUGGCUGCAGUGCAAGGCCUCAAUGUGGCCAAAUCAACUCAAUGGUAUGUUGUGCUGGGCACUCAAUCAUUAUGUGAAGAGUUGUGAGUUUGCACUGCUACUAUUUGAAGAAACUGUAAAUUUUGAGACUUUAGUUGCUAGGGACGGAAAGCUGGAUGUCUGGUGUAUGUUUAGUACAGGUAGAAAUUUUCUACCCUACCACUUGUUGUCGUACAUGCUGGUUCUAGUUCAUGUGUUGGAUGCCUCAGACCUAGUUACAUAAUGAUACGUCUCCAACGUAUCUACUUUUCCAAACACUUUUGCCCUUGUUUUGGACUCUAACUUGCAUGAUUUGAAUGGAACUAAUCUGGACUAACGCUAUUUUCAGCAGAACUACCAUGGUGUUAUUUAUGUGUAGAAGGAAACGUUCUCAGAAUGACCUAAAACUUCACGGAGACAUUUUUCAGAAAAUAAGAAAAAUACCUUCCAAAGAUGAAGGCCAGGGGGGCCACCACCUUGCCAUGAGGGUGGGGGGCGUGCCUCCCCCCUAGGGCGCGCCUCCCUACCUCGUGGGCCCCCUAUUGCCUCUCCGACUCCAACUCCACCUUCAUAUAUUGAGUUUUAGGGAGAAACAAAUCAGAGAGAAGAAAUCAUCGCAUUUUACGAUACGGAGCCACCGCCAAUCCCUAAAACCUCUCGGGAGGGCUGAUCUGGAGUCCGUUCGGGGCUCCGGAGAGGGGAAUCUGUCGCCAUCGUCAUCAUCAACCAUCCUCCAUCACCAAUAUCAUGAUGCUCACCGCCGUGUGUGAGUAAUUCUAUCGCAGACUUGCUGGACGGUGAUGGGUUGGAUGGGAUCUAUCAUGUAAUCGAGUUAGUUUUGUUAGGGUUUGAUCCCUAGUGUCCACUAUGUUUUGAGAUUGAUGUUGCUAUGACUUUGCUAUGCUUAAUGCUUGUCACUAGGGCUUGAGUGCCAUGAUUUCAGAUAUGAACCUAUUAUGUUUUCA